AAAGGUUGAAUUGCUUUCAGUGAAAUUUCAGCAUCACUGGGGAAGAUACUUUGAAGCUGAGGAAACAUCCCAGCUGCUCAGAUCACAGCAUCAGAAAGAGGCAGAGGAGACGGAGGUGAUGGUUUUCCCAGUACUCCUUGGAAAGGAAUAGAGACACAAUGUGGAAUGGCCAGUCAACUGGAACACAGUGUGCGCAACAUUGACAAGCUAGAAUGUGUCCAGAGGAAAACAACUGAAAUGUAUUCUGAGAAGAGUCUAUAGGUUUCAGAAGACUACCAAAAAAGUCCAGGACAUGCAAAAAAGUGAAGAACACUUGGGUAAAGAAUGCUGGAGGUGACAGUCCCAUUCUUCUGCUCUAGUCAGACCUCAUCUCUGGUAUUUUAUUCAGCAGUAGGGAAUCACAUUUAGAAAGGGUACUGACAAACCAAAGUAAAAACAGAGAAAGAUGAAUAGCACACUGGAAGCCAUACUGCAUGCUGCCACACCACGCAAUGCCAACAAGCGCUGCCAGAAACCACCUCGGCUCAGAAUCAAGGCUAUUGUAUGUUAUGAAUUGCAGUGUUUUUUACUGUACAUACAAAACUUUCUGCU